rnacentral:rRNA from 1 species
CCUACGGGAGGCAGCAGUGGGGAAUAUUGCACAAUGGGGGAAACCCUGAUGCAGCGACGCCGCGUGAGUGAAGAAGUUGUUCGGUAUGUAAAGCUCUAUUAGCAGAGAAGAAAAUGACGGUACCUGAUUAAGAAGCCACGGAUAACUACGAGCCAGCAGCCGCGGUAAUACGGCGGGGGCAAGCGUUAUCGGGAUUGACUGGGUGUAAAGGGAGCGUAGACGGCAGCUCAAGUCUGGAGUGAAAUGCCUGGGCUUAACCCCGGAACUGCAUUGGAAACUGUGCAGAUAGAGUGCAGGAGAGGUGAGUGGAAUUCCUUGUGUAGCGGUGAAAUGCGUAGAUAUUAGGAGGAACACCAGUGGCGAAGGCGGCUUACUGGACUGUAACUGACGUUGAGGCUCGAAAGCGUGGGGAGCAAACAGGAUUAGAUACCCCAGUAGUC